rnacentral:lncRNA from 1 species
AUGUCUUUAUUCUUUAGGAUUUGGGCAUUCUUAUUCCCCAAAAUUUGGACAUCCUUAUUCCUCAGGAUUUGUGCAUCUUUAUUCUUCGGGAUGUGGACAUCCUUAUUCCCAAGGAUUUGGAAAUCUUUAUUCUUCAGGAUUUGGACAUCCUUAUUCCCCAAAAUUGGACAUCCUUAUUCCUCAAUACUUGUGUAUCUUUAUUUUCCAGUAUCUGGGCAUCCUUAUUCCCUGGUAUUUAGGCAUCCUUAUUUCCUGAUAUUUAGGCAUCCUUAUUCCUCAGAAUUUGGACAGCCUUAUUCCCCAGGAUUUGGACAUCUUUAUUCCUCAGUAUUUGGGAAUCUUUAUUUUCCAGUAUUUGGGCAUCCUUAUUCCCUGAUAUUUGGACAUCCUUAUUCCCUGGUAUUUGGGCAUCCUUAUCCUUCAGGAUUUGAACAUUCUUAUUCCUCAAAAUUUGGACAUCCUUGUUCCCAAGUAUUUGGGCAUUUGCAUUUCCCAAAUAUCUGGGAAUCCAUAUUUCCCACUGUAUAAGCUUUCUUAUCCCUCAGUAUCUGGGCAUCUUUAUUCCCUAUAUUUGGGCAGCCCUGAAUUUUCCAGUAUUUGGGCAUUCUUAUUCCCUGGUAUUUGGUCAACUUUGCUCUCCAGUAUUUGGGUGUUGUUAUUUCCCAGUAUUUGGACUUCCUUAUUCCUCAGUAUUUGGGCAUCCUUGUUCCCCAAGUAGGAUAAUUUUUUUUUUCCUUUAUAUGGGCAUUUUUAUUCCUCAAUCUUUGGGUAUCCCUGAAUUCCUCAGGAUUUGGGUGUCCAUGUUCCCCAGUAUUUGGACAUCUCAAUUCCUCAGUAUCUGGGCAUUCUUAUUCCUGAGGAUUUUAGCAGCCCUGAAUUUCUCAGUAUUUGGACAUCCUUAUACCUCAAUAUUUGAGCAUUUUUAUUCCCCAGGUAUGUAGGAAUUCUUUAUUCCCUCUUUAUGGGCAUCCUUAUUCCUCAGUAUUUGGGCAUCAUCAUUCCCCAGGCAUCUGGGAAUUCCUUAUUUCCCCUCUAUGUGGGCAUUUGUAUUCCUUGGUAUUUGGGCAUGUUAUUCCAUCUUAUUCCUCAGAAUUUGGGCAUUCUUAUUCCCCAAGUAUUUGACCAAGGUGAGGGAACACCCAGAGCCUGAUCUGCUCCCACCACUGGGAUUAUCCCUUGUGCACCAACACUUUUCCCCAGGAUUUUCCCCCAAAGAACAGCCCUAGAACAGCCUGGGGGUUUGCUCAACUACCACUGCAUUCCCUAGUGGCAUUCCCAUGGUUCUGGACCCUUUUUCCAACCCUGGAGCAGGUCUGUGCUCCCUCCCUGUGGGAUGGAGAGAGCCAAAAUCUUGUAGGAACAGUGGCAGGAGGGACCAAAGCAGAUGUCCCAGGCUGCUGAUCCUUCACCUGAACAAUCUGUUUAAAAAAAAAAAAUACCACAAAACCCCUAAAAAACAAAAAAAGGAAGUGGAGGUUGGUUCCUGUUUGCUUCAGUCUGAGCUGUUAGGGGGCUGAGAGGAAACAAAAAACCAGCUGAGGGUCGCCCUGAACGUGAUGGCCAAGGGGCAGGGACUGCUCCAGGGACAGGGACACACCAGGAAUGUGGGGCUGGAGCCUCCUGACUCCAGCUGGGCUUUCAAGGUGAGUGAAAGACACAUCCCAUCCCUGACAGAGCCAAUCCCAGGGCUGAGCUCUUCCUUUAAAAUCAAAAUUAAGGAAGAGGGAAAACACUGCUUUUGCCUUGCCUUGAUAAUUCCCAUCCUUGGAAAGGCUCAAGGCUGGGCUGGGGGUGUUCAGCUGGAGAAGGGAAGGCUCCAGGGAAACCUCAGAGCCCCUUCCAGGGCCUGAAGGAACCUUCUAAGGAAGGACAGAUUUUUAUAGGGCCUGGAGUGACAGCAAAAAGGGUUUUAAGCUAAAAGAGAGUUGAUUCAGGCUCAGAUAUAAAGAAUAAUAUUUUUAAUGGGAAGGUGGGGAGGGUGCCCAGAGCAGCUGUGGCUGCCCCUGGAUCCCUGCAAGUGCCCAAGGCCAGGCUGGACAGGAUUUGAAGCACUCUGGGAUGGUGGAAGGUGUCCAUGUGAAUGACAUGGGGUGGGACUGGAUGAGCUUUAAGGUCCUUUUCAUCCCAAACAAUUCUGGGAUCAAUAACUGGGGUUGAACCAGGAGCCCAUCCCAGUCCUCCAGUUUGGGUUUGGCAGGAGGGAUCGGAUGCUGCUGGGAUAAGGAAGCUGUUUCCAUGGAAACAGGCUCGUUUUUCCACUCCCUUGUCUUUUAAUUCAUUUAUUUAUUUAUCUGCCAGCACAUCUCUGACCUGCAAGCUGCUUCCCAGGGCUUUAAACACCGGGUUGGACAUCCAGGAUAAAAAAUGGCUGGGAAAGGGAAUGAAAUCCACUCAGGAUUAAGGUUUUCUUUGCCCCAUGGAACAAAUGAAACUCAGACCAUUUUAUUUCCUUAAGGAAAGAGUGAAACAUGGGGGAUUUGGGAGUGUUAAGGCUCCUUUUCCAGCCAGAUCUGUAACUCCUGUUGGGAUCAGUGGGACUAUCCCAUCUCCCACCCUCUGGAAAACGUGGCUCUGCUAUUUUCUAUUUUGCCUGUUGUAUUUUUAUAAUUUUCUGGAUAUAUUUAGCCAUUUUAUUUUCAGCUGAGCCACCUAUUUUUAGGCAUGGCUUUUAGCAAAAGCCACAAGAUGCCUGGCAAAGCCACCCAGCCCCUCACCAGGGAUUCCCACGCUCCAGCAGGACCGUGACCCUAUUCCCAGUUAUCCCUUCUGGAUGCUGCACCUGGGCUGGUUUUGGGGAGGAAAAGGCAAUUUUUGGGAGAUCCUGCUUGUCUCAGUGGGGAUGCAGCAAGCUGGGCUGGGCUCAGCUCUUGGGAAGCACAUGGACAGGGAGAAAUCCCAGCGGGGAUGAGAUUUGGGACAAGUUUCUUUGUUAUAAAACCCAGCCUGGAACCAUUUCUGGACCAAAUACCCUUUUUCUGUCCAAAAAAAACCCCUUUUCUGUCCAAAAAUCUCAAUUUUUCUGGACUAACCCCCACCCUGGUUGAUGCCUACCUGAUGGGAACAACCCUGAUCCCUGCUCUCCCCAAAAUCCUGGCUGUGCCAGUGGGAUUCACCCGCUUUGCUAUAACUGAGUGGAAAAUGCUGGUGCAUCAGGGAUGGAAAAUAUGACUUUUUUUUGCAAGGAAGGAGCAGGGAGGCUGCUGCUUUCACCCCAAAAAGGAGCUGUUUUCAGGGUGGGUGAGGCUGCUUUUGGUCUUUGUGGUGGAGGAAGGGAGAGGUUUUGGCCUGGCCAAUGUCAGCACUUUCUCUUUCAUUCAUUUUCCUUUUGGUUCAGAGGAGGGAGAUGGGUUUUAUGGAAAGGAAAGAAAAAAACCUCGCUGGGAGGUGAAAAAAGUCUGGAAAAUUGAACCAUAGAAUCAUCCAGGUUGGAAAAACCCUCUAAGAUCAUUCCAUCAUAAAAUAUGGAAUGGUUUGGGUUGGAAAGGAUCUUAAAGCUCAUCUUUUUCCAUCCCCUGCCAUAGCAGGGACACCUUCCACUAUCCCAGGUUCCUCUAAGCUCCAUCCAACCUGCCCUUGGACACUUCCAGAGAUGGGAAAAUGCCAUUUUUUUAACAUUCAGGAGAAUUCCAAUCUCCACCCAUGUGAACCUUGAGCUAAAACCCAACUAAAAGAGGAGGAAAAAACUUCUGGAGGUGCUUAAGCUCUGAUUCCACGGGGGAUGGG